rnacentral:rRNA from 1 species
AACGCUAGCUACAGGCUUAACACAUGCAAGUCGAGGGGCAGCAUUUUAGUUUGCUUGCAAACUGAAGAUGGCGACCGGCGCACGGGUGAGUAACACGUAUCCAACCUGCCGAUAACUCCGGGAUAGCCUUUCGAAAGAAAGAUUAAUACCGGAUAGUAUACGAAUAUCGCAUGAUAUUUUUAUUAAAGAAUUUCGGUUAUCGAUGGGGAUGCGUUCCAUUAGUUUGUUGGCGGGGUAACGGCCCACCAAGACUACGAUGGAUAGGGGUUCUGAGAGGAAGGUCCCCCACAUUGGAACUGAGACACGGUCCAAACUCCUACGGGAGGCAGCAGUGAGGAAUAUUGGUCAAUGGGCGCGAGCCUGAACCAGCCAAGUAGCGUGAAGGAUGAAGGCUCUAUGGGUCGUAAACUUCUUUUAUAUGGGAAUAAAGUUUUCCACGUGUGGAAUUUUGUAUGUACCAUAUGAAUAAGGAUCGGCUAACUCCGUGCCAGCAGCCGCGGUAAUACGGAGGAUCCGAGCGUUAUCCGGAUUUAUUGGGUUUAAAGGGAGCGUAGGUGGAUUGUUAAGUCAGUUGUGAAAGUUUGCGGCUCAACCGUAAAAUUGCAGUUGAAACUGGCAGUCUUGAGUACAGUAGAGGUGGGCGGAAUUCGUGGUGUAGCGGUGAAAUGCUUAGAUAUCACGAAGAACUCCGAUUG